rnacentral:lncRNA from 1 species
GCAGACCUUCUGACCGGCCCUGUGCCCAUGAAAUUCACUAAAUUGCUUUGGAAAGGACCACUUUAACCAAGCAUCCUGGAUUAUGAGGAGCAGCGAUUAUGAUGGACUGCACACGGGGACCUUGACAAGUGUCCUUGCUUCACAGAGGACUCAGAGACACACGCAAGUUCACAACGUGAGGUUUCUGAUGAUUCCGUUUUAUCUUAAGAUCUCUGCAACUCAUUAAGGAUUUGCUUUGAUUUAGGCAGAAAAUAAUGAACCUGUUAAAGAAAAUUAUUUUCAAUUAGAAAGAAAACAUGUAAUUCGUGGGGAUGGGGUGAGAACACUAAUUAUACUUUUAAUUGUGUCUAUUGCCCUUUGGGGUAAACUCUAAGGAAUUGGGUAAAGAAAGAGAAACUGAAUUUUUCUUUAAGUGGUUUUCCAUUGUUCCAGGCAAUUCUCCAAAGAACAGUCACCUCCAUGGUAACCCAUGUUCAGUUUUAAUUGCUUUACAAGCAGAAGCUAGGCUUUUUUGUUUUUUAAACAAGCGGUUUUGGUGUUUCUUUAAUUGUAUGUGCUUAUAAUUCUUUUAUUCUUUAAACAUUGGCUGAGGUUUACCUGGAAACUUAUAGACCUUGAUGCUUAUGCAUCAGUAUAUCUGAUUGGUAAAAAUGUUAGUGAAGAAAUAUGAGAUAAUGACGGAGAACAUGGGUUCUGGAGUUUCCAUUCUUGAGGUUCACAGACGACUUUACCUUUUACUCGCUGUGUGAUCUUUGGCAAGUUACUUAGCCUCUCUGUGCUUUAGUUUCUUGUCUAUGAAAUGGGCAUAACACAGCACCCCCAUCAUAGUUGUUAGAAGGGUUCAAUGACUGUUAGUCAGGAUGGGCUAAGUUAUGCUGCAGUAACAAAUCCCAAAUCUCAGAAGGUUGAUGCAAUCAACAUUUAUUUCUCACUCAUGCAAAGUCCUCCAAAGAUCUGGAUGAUUCCCAUUGUGGCUGGCUCAACACAUUCCAGGCUGCUUCAAUUUUACAGCUCCCUCAUAGCAUCCGGCUUCCAUGCUUGGUACAGCAGAGAAGACAGAUGAUAGGGAAUUAUGUCCUGGCUCUCAAAGGCUUCGACAGGCAGUGACACAAAUCACUUCUGCUUGUAUUUCAUGGGGGAAAGCAAACUGCCUGGCGAUGCAUAAAUUCAAGGUGGCAGAAAGGGCCCGGAAGCAGAGAAACCAGGAAUAUGGAUGGGCAGCAGGAUGUCCACCAGCAUAUGCAUAGUGCCUGUUAGAAAGAAGCAUGAAAUAAAUGUAAGCUAUCGUUGCUGAAGGCUGGCACUGCCAAAAUGUAAUUUUUUUUUUUGUCUUUUUAUGGCCACGCCCGUGGCAUAUGGAGGUUCCCAAGCUAAGGGUUGAAUCAGAGCUAUAUCUGCUGGCCUAUUCCAUAGCCACAGCAAUGCGGGAUCCGAGGUGUGUCUGCGACCUAUACCACAGCUCUUGGCAAUGCCGGAUCCUUAACCCACUGAACAAGGCCAGGGAUCGAACCUUGGUCCUCAUGGAUGCCAGUCAGAUUUGUUUCCACUGAGCCAUGAUGGGAACUCCUAAUUUUAAUUUUAAUUGAGGCUGUUUUUUUCUUUCGAGAUUUGGCCUAAAGAAUAACUUCCGCAUGUUCAGAAGCCCAAACAUGGGUUUGCUUUAGUGUUCUGGCACUUAGUAGAUGGCACACAUUUGAAGGGUAAUAUUAGUAGUGUUUGAGAACAUGGGCUUAGAGUCAGGUGGACUUCAUCUGAAUCUCAGGACCAACACCUAUUGAAGGAGUGUGAUGUUGAUGAGAUGAUUGAUUUAACCUUUCCUGGACUCCGUGACCUCUGGGGUCAUCUUUGUAAUUUUGUUCUUCAUUUUCCAUUAUGUCCUUUUCUAAUAGCCAUAUUUUUCAUUAUUUUAUCUUUUAUGGCAACAUUGCCUCACAGCCAAUUAGUGAUGCAGCGGCAUUGUUUUAUACCGCUUUGUUAGUGGCAAAGAUAUUUAGGGGAAAGUGGCUUAUAGAGAUAAUACGGGAUAAGGAUUAACAAUUUCCUGAACCCUCAGCUUGCUCAUCUGCAAAAUGGGAAUAAAAAAUUAACUUUCUAGAGCUUUUCCCAUCACAUACGUGGACACUUAAAACACAGAGUAAACACCAAAACAUAUCUUUUUUUGCCCUCUUCUUUCCCCCUGCUUCAUAAUUAUGCCAGAUUGUAGGAGUUCUCACUGUGGCUCAGGGGUAAUGAAACAGACUAGUAUCCAUGAGAAUGCAGGGAUCGAAUCUGCAUCCUCAUGGAUAGUAGUCAGAUUCGAUUCUGCUGAGCCACGACGGGAACUUCUCUUUGGGAUGUGUUCACUUCUUUCUUGCUUCCCCAGUUUGCUAAGGGCUACAUGAACUGAUAUAAGUAUCCACCAGCGUGGGUGCCUAGCAGCUGCUCAGUAAAUGCUGGUUUCCAUCACCCUCCCCUGUCCUACCAUGUCCUCUUAACACGGUGCUGUUCCCAUGAUGGGAUGGAAUUGCAGACAUCAAGGAGGGAGCUGUCUCACAACCUUGGGUGGGUCCAGCUCAACACUGCACACAUCUCAACAGACAACUGCCUGUUCCACCUGCUGCAGUGAAUUGACCCACCACAAAAGAAAAGGUUAGACCUCCCUCACAAACAAGUAGCAUUCAUGGAAUUAGACUGCCUCUGAAGGAAUACUGGCAGCCAGCAACUCGCUCACACUGAGACUGACCAGGAGUUGGCUGAGGUGCCUGCAGGUACCCGUGGAAGCUGAUGAAGCCUGAGUGAGGAGGAUGCGUCGUGCAAACACACCACCCAUCCCUGAUGACAUGGCUGCCACCAGCAGCUUUCCAUACUCGGUCUUCUAGAAGGCUCCUGAGAACAUGCCACCUCCUCUCUGAAGCCCUCUCCUCCUCUUCCCAGCCAGCUGGCCACUCCUUGCUUUGUGCCCCACUCGAACCCCCUGGCAGUAUCUUUAGUGAGCCUUUGAGGGGAGACCUGGAUCUCAUUCAUCUUGGCACUCGAGACACCAGCACACAGUAGGCAGUUAACAGCUGAUGACUGAAUGAAUAACCACAGGAGGAAAUCAAGGACCUUGAGAACUAUUUUCCAGAGAAAACAUCUUACAGAAGCUCUUUGGAUAUAAUGAGUCUCCUAGGAAGAGAAGAGUGAAUAUUUUCCUUCUCCUCUAAUGUCUUUUUUUAAGAAAAGAAUGAAGAGGAAAGGGAAAAAGGAAAACCUUACCACCAGGAAACUCUGCAGGGUACCAUUGGAAGCUGUGGAAAAGGCUUGGUGAUUGAUUAGUCAUGCCUGCUGGGGAGAGGGCAGGGAGAGGAGGGCAGCCCUUCUGCCUGACAGCUGCCGUCUCUCUUAAACCUUUAACUAGCAACCAAAUGAGUGCAAAUGCAGCUUAACCAGUGAAGUAUGGCCUUUUCUUCAACCUUUAAUUGGUAUAUUUAGCAAAUAUGUUUUACUAUUAAAAUGAAAAUGGGGUGGAAAAUAGACUUCAUUUUAUAAUCCAUAUUGAGGACAUAUUGGUAUCCUAUCAACAGAAAAGAUUCUUCUAAUGAAUGAAAAGGAACGCAACCCCCAUAUGACUGAUGACUGAUUAUUCCUUCUGGCUAGAAAAGGAUGAUGAUAGUCCUGCAGAGGAGGGGUGUUGCUUGUAUAGCAAAGGCCUCCUGUAGGGGUGAGUCUGUGUCCCGGGUAAUCCUUAGACUUAAAAUCAGAACAUCCAUGUUUUCCUCCCAACUUUCUUUUAAUUGGAAAAUUUCAGGACUCCCCUGGUGGCUCAGCAGGUUAAGGAUCCAGCAUUGUUACUGUUGUGGCUCUGGCUACUCCUGUGGUUUGGGUAUGAUCCCUGGCUGGCAAACUUCCACCUGGUGCAGGUGUGGCAAAAAAAAACAAACAAAAAAAUCCAAAAAAAAAAAACAAAAAAAAAAAAAAA